CGGAGGAACCCGCGGCGGCGUGAAGGAGGCCCCGCGCCGAGGACGCGGGCCUGGACUCCGUCCGCGCAGGGGGCGACCUUCCUCCUCUGGCCGGCUUCCCGUCCCUUCCCUCGGCCCAGCUCACGCACACACCCUGGUGGAGUCUCAGCUUUGCGGCCUGCUUUACGGCACCGAUACUCACGUGGGGCGCUUUGAUCAACAGAUUCAUCCUGGAAGACCACCUUGUGCAGCUGGCUGGACAGAGGCCGUUGGAGGUGUUCUGUCUUCACGCUAUCUGCCAAGGGGCGGUGCCUACUUUUAAAAAGCAGAAAUUGGGAGAUUAUAAGUCUUCAAGAAAUAUUCAUCGAGAGAUGCCACAAAGUAAAGCACACAUUACAGAUUGAAGAGACUGGGGAUUUAGAGAUUAUAUUAGCAGAGCUACAGACCCUCAGUGGUAUCAGUUGGACCAAAUCCAUAACUGCUCAAGAAAAACCUUUUUGCUGCAAACUGUAUAAGGACAAAACUUAACCCCAAAUGUUCUGGUAGUCGCAUAUUGAAGAGCAGCUUAAAGAGCAGGGUAGACCUCAUGCACUCGACGUGCCCACACCACUGACCUGUGCAAUGGCAAAAUCUGAGUUGUUGGUGGCCUGCAUGCCCUCGUUCCCACUGAUUCCCACACCCACGUGGGCCAUCUGGAUCAUCCCAAUGUCAUUGGC